rnacentral:rRNA from 1 species
GCCCCAGUAAACGGCGGCCGUAACUAUAACGGUCCUAAGGUAGCGAAAUUCCUUGUCGGGUAAGUUCCGACCUGCACGAAUGGCGUAAUGAUGGCCAGGCUGUCUCCACCCGAGACUCAGUGAAAUUGAACUCGCUGUGAAGAUGCAGUGUACCCGCGGCAAGACGGAAAGACCCCGUGAACCUUUACUAUAGCUUGACACUGAACAUUGAGCCUUGAUGUGUAGGAUAGGUGGGAGGCUUUGAAGUGUGGACGCCAGUCUGCAUGGAGCCAACCUUGAAAUACCACCCUUUAACGUUUGAUGUUCUAACCUAGGCCCAUAAACUGGGUCGGGGACCGUGUCUGGUGGGUAGUUUGACUGGGGCGGUCUCCUCCUAAAGAGUAACGGAGGAGCACGAAGGUUGGCUAAGCAUGGUCGGACAUCAUGCGGUUAGUGCAAAGGCAUAAGCCAGCUUGACUGCGAGAGUGACGGCUCGAGCAGGUACGAAAGUAGGUCUUAGUGAUCCGGUGGUUCUGAAUGGAAGGGCCAUCGCUCAACGGAUAAAAGGUACUCCGGGGAUAACAGGCUGAUACCGCCCAAGAGUUCAUAUCGACGGCGGUGUUUGGCACCUCGAUGUCGGCUCAUCACAUCCUGGGGCUGAAGUAGGUCCCAAGGGUAUGGCUGUUCGCCAUUUAAAGUGGUACGCGAGCUGGGUUUAGAACGUCGUGAGACAGUUCGGUCCCUAUCUGCCGUGGGCGUUGGAAGAUUGAGAGGGGUUGCUCCUAGUACGAGAGGACCGGAGUGAACGCACCACUGGUGUUCGGGUUGUCAUGCCAAUGGCAUUGCCCGGUAGCUAAGUGCGGAAGAGAUAACCGCUGAAAGCAUCUAAGCGGGAAACUUGCCUCGAGAUGAGUCUUCCCUGUCGCUUUAAGCGACCUAAAGGAACGUUUAAGACUAAGACGUUGAUAGGCUGGGUGUGUAAGCGUAGCGAUACGUUGAGCUAACCAGUACUAAUGAACCGUGAGGCUUAACCUG